rfam:Desulfosporosinus acidiphilus SJ4, complete genome.
UCAGGAAUAUAAUAUCCGCUGUAGAAAGCAGGCGCCUUAGUGCUUAAUUUCCUGCCGAGGUUGGAAUACGUGCCGAUUGAUAUUACUUGGCAUUCUUAACCUCUGCAGCUGCGGAGGUUUUUUGCUGAGUUG